rnacentral:siRNA from 1 species
CGCGGCGACGUGGGUGGU